CCUACGGGAGGCAGCAGUGAGGAAUCUUUGUCAAUGGGCGCGAGCCUGAUCCAGCCAAGUAGCGUGAAGGAUGACUGCCCUACGGGUUGUAAACCUCUUUUAUAAAGGAAUAAAGUGAGGCACGAGUGCCUUUUUGUAUGUACUUUAUGAAUAAGGAUCGGCUAACUCCGUGCCAGCAGCCGCGGUAAUACGGAGGAUCCGAGCGUUAUCCGGAUUCAUUGGGUGUAAAGGGAGCGUAGAUGGGUUGUUAAGUCAGGUGUGAAAGUUUGCGGCUCAACCGUAAGAUUGCAAUUGAUACUGGCAGUCUUGAGUACAGUUGAGGUAGGCGGAAUUCGUGGUGUAGCGGUGAAAUGCGUAGAUAUCAAGAAGAACUCCGAUUGCGAAGGCAGCUUACUAAACUGCCACUGACAUUGAUGCUCGAAAGUGUGGGUAGCAAACAGGAUUAGAUACCCGAGUAGUC
rnacentral:rRNA from 1 species